rnacentral:rRNA from 1 species
GACGAACGCUGGCGGCGUGCUUAACACAUGCAAGUCGAACGGUGAAGGAAGAGCUUGCUCUUCCGGACCAGUGGCGAACGGGUGAGUAACACGUGGGCAACCUGCCCCUGACUCUGGGAUAACUCCUCGAAAGAGGUGCUAAUACCGGAUACGACCACUUCGGACAUCCGAUGGUGGUGGAAAGUUUUUCGGUCAGGGAUGGGCCCGCGGCCUAUCAGCUAGUUGGUGGGGUAAUGGCCUACCAAGGCGACGACGGGUAGCCGGCCUGAGAGGGCGACCGGCCACACUGGGACUGAGACACGGCCCAGACUCCUACGGGAGGCAGCAGUGGGGAAUAUUGCGCAAUGGGCGAAAGCCUGACGCAGCGACGCCGCGUGAGGGAU